CAGUGAGGAAAGCUCUGCUGAAGGGUGAUACAGAGUGCAGGGAGGCUGCAGGAGGGAGAGGAGGGUGGGGACAGCUCUGCCAGCAGAACCUGCGCUCCACACACAUCUCUCACUGUGGCAAACAGACAGCCAGACAGAUGUUUGCCAAAUGUGCCCUUCUUGGCAACAAACCCACAAACUGUGGGGGAUUUUGAUGCUUUUACAGCUGGGGUUUGGUCCAGAUUAGAACAAAAUCUUGAAAAUGCACCCAACUUGGAAACGCCAAGGAAUUCCUCUGCAGAAACGUUUUGCUGGGAAAUGGUAAAUGGUUUGGUAGAGUCAAAAUGAAGUAUUAUAAUUCCACGUUCUAUGUACAAGUCAAAAUGAAUAAUUUACCUCCUUUAACUAUUUUUAAACACCUGAAACAUCUGAAAAGGCUUUUUUUUGUUUGUUUUUUGACACGUCUGUCAAAUCUCAUCAGACACAGCGUGUUUGUGAAUGGGGAGAUGUUCCCAGCAGCUGCAGCUGCCUGUGGCAGCAGGAGAGCCCUGACCAGGAUGGCUGUGGGGGACAGAACUGGGAAAAGAAAGGCCAUCUGUCUGUCCAUCCAUCCAUCCAUCCAUCAUCCAUCAUCCAUCAUCCAUCAUCCAUCCAUCCAUCAUCCAUCAUCCAUCCAUCAUCCAUCAUCCAUCAUCCAUCCAUCAUCCAUCAUCCAUCCAUCCAUCAUCCAUCCAUCCAUCCAUCAAUCACCCACCCUUGCACCCAGCCCAUGCAGGGCUCUGCUUUGGCCAAGCAGCAUUUCCCCACCCCAUCACCAAGUGACAUAAUUGAGAGGGUGGUUUUAUUUAUUUUCCCUAUUCAGGGAACAGUUCUGGUACCUUCUGCUUGUGUUAGUUUUUGGGGAAGGGGGCUGAAAUGAAGCCCGGAGGGGACUGAGGGGGUUUGCAGCAGGAGAACACAGCUGAUUCACUCUCUGGUAUAAGCAGGAGUUGGUCUGACAUGGCACUGUUUAUUUUGAGCAGGUUCUAGGAACAGUUUGCAGCUCUUUCCCCAUCUCUUGAUGUGCCCACACAGUAAAUUAUCUGCAAUCAUUAGCAAGUGGGCUGCUUCCUCCUUCAGACACAAUUAGUGGGCAGGGGCCGGAAAAACCUUCCUCAAUCUCAUUUCCUUCUCAGGAUGCUCUUGAGAGCCCGGCGCUGCCUCGGAGGAGGCAGGGCACAGCCGCUGCCCAGAGUGACCCUCCCUGCUCCUCGGGGUGGGAGCAUCCUCCGUCCGUCCGUCCCCCGAUGGUCCCCGGGGGCUGCCCGGGCGGGGAAGGUGGAACCUUGGAACCUCAGCCUCCGGGUCAGGGAGGCUGAAGCAGAGGCAGGAACCGGCAGAGGCUCAGGACAAGCUGAUUUCCAGUUCCCUUUGCCUGUGAGGUCCAUCCUGGGGCGGUGCACAGGCACGGGUGACUCAGGGGCUGGGGAAUGGUGUGAGCAGUGAGCAGCAGCUCCUGUCCAGGGCACCUGGCUCAGGGUUCCUGGAGCACCAGCAGCUGCCGGGCACUGGUGCCAAAGCCUUGGUGGCUCUGCCACAGCUGCCCCCGGUCCCGAGCACUGCUGGCCGUGCCAUCGCCUCCUCCUGCCCCACACCGCCAGCUGGGAACCGGCCCUGGGGGAGCAGCAGCGCUCGAGGGGGAGCUUUGGAUUUACACUCGGGAAACCUGGAAUAAAUCAAAGCAAUUAAAGUGCA
rnacentral:lncRNA from 1 species